CUACCAAGGAUUCCCUUAGUAACUGCGAGUGAAGCGGGAAAAGCUCAAAUUUGAAAUCUGGCAGUCUAUUUUUUCUUCUUUGGCUGUCCGAGUUGUAAUCUAGAGAAGUGCUUACCUGCACUGGACCAUGUAUAAGUCUCCUGGAAUGGAGCGUCGCAGAGGGUGAGAAUCCCGUCUUUGACAUGGACCGCCAGUGUGUUGUGGUGUGCUCUCAAAGAGUCGAGUUGUUUGGGAAUGCAGCUCUAAAUGGGUGGUAAACUCCAUCUAAAGCUAAAUAUUGGCGAGAGACCGAUAGCGAACAAGUACCGUGAGGGAAAGAUGAAAAGGACUUUGGAAAGAGAGUUAAACAGUAUGUGAAAUUGUUGAAAGGGAAACGCUUGAAGUCAGUUAUGUCGGCUAGGGAUCAACCUAGCUCUUUUGCUGGGUGAAUUUCCUAUUCUGACAGGCCAACAUCAGUUUCGACUGCUGGAAAAGAGCGGAGGGAAUGUGGCACCUUCGGGUGUGUUAUAGCCCUUUGUCAUAUGUGGCAGUCGGGACUGAGGGAUGCAGCGUGCCGCGAGGCUGGGUUUCGACCACGUUCACGCUUAGGAUGUUGGCUUUUAAUGGCUUCAAUCGACCCGUCUUGAAACACGGACCAAGGAGUCUAACAUGCCUGCGAGUGUUUGGGUGGAAAACCCUUGCGCGCAAUGAAAGUGAAAGUUGAGAUCCCUGUCGUGGGGAGCAUCGACGCCCGGACUUGAGCUUUUAGCGACGGAUCCGCGGUAGAGCAUGCAUGUUGGGACCCGAAAGAUGGUGAACUAUGCCUGAAUAGGGCAAAGCCAGAGGAAACUCUGGUGGAGGCUCGUAGCGAUUCUGACGUGCAAAUCGAUCG
rnacentral:rRNA from 1 species